rnacentral:rRNA from 1 species
CCUACGGGAGGCAGCAGUGAGGAAUAUUGGUCAAUGGGCUCACGCCUGAACCAGCCAAGUCGCGUGAAGGAUGACUGCCCUACGGGUUGUAAACUUCUUUUAUAAAGGAGUAAAGUGAGGCACGUGUACCUUUUUGUAUGUAAUUUAUGAAUAAGGAUCGGCUAACUCCGUUCCAGCAGCCGGGGUAAUACGGAGGGUCCGAGCGGUAUUCUGAUUUGUUGGGGUUAAAGGGAGGGGUGAUCGGAUUGUCAGGCAGUUGUUAAAGUUGGGGGCUCAACCGUAAAAUUGCAAUUGAUACUGGCAGUCUUGAGUACAGUUGAGGUAGGCGGAAUGCGUGGUGUAGCGGUGAAAUGCUUAGAUAUCACGAAGAACUCCGAUUGCGAAGGCAGCUUACUAAACUGCAACUGACAUUGAUGCUCGAAAGUGUGGGUAUCAAACAGGAUUAGAUACCCCUGUAGUC